AACAAAAUUGGAAUGCAUCUCUAUGCAACAAUGAAAGAAAAAUAGCAAUAUUAAAAAUACAUCAAAUACAACUCUAGAGGGAAGUGAAUUUUUAUUCAAGGACUUUUAAGAAUUCUGACAUUGAAAAGACAUCUUUGCUUGAGGAGGCAGCUGAAUGUGUUUCUAACUUACAGUCAAAGAUCAUUUGCAUAGAAUACCAAAAGAGCCAUUUUUUUUUUAAUUCAGAGAAAGAACAUCUAUCAGAGUUUGGCAGGAUGCAUCCUGCCAGGAUUCUUCUCUUUUCUACAGAAACUGACCAUUUGAAAAAGUCUUUCUAUGAUUGGUGCCACAAUAAAGCUCUUGUACCGGAUUCUGCAACAAAAUGUAAAUUAAUGGAAUGUGAAAAAUGGAAGGACUGCAAGGGAAAGGAUCAAAGGCCACAGAAGAAAUGGGGCAUGCCCCCGUUCUGUUUCUCCAAUAACCUCAUCCCAGAACCUGGAGGUCCUUCUCUUCCCAUCGCUGCCCUGUCACUAGCAGGAUUCCUCCCUCUUCUUUCCACAAGUGAACACCUCUCCUGUUCUAGGAGCUGGGGAUUCAGUAGUGAAUGAGACAGGCAAGGUCCCUGCUGUCAUGGAGUCUGCAUCCUAGUGUAGGUAAUAAGACAAUGAACAAAGUAAUUUUCAAAGCAAACAAAAUAGGGGGUGCUCUGGAGAGUACAUGGAGAUCUGUUGUAGAGGGUUGGUUGAGGAGGGUUUCUCUAAGAAUCAAUGCUCAGGCUGAAACUGGAAUGACCAGAUGAAGACAGCCCGGAGAAGAACUGUCAGUGCAUUCCAGGGAGGGAAGACCAAAUGCAAUGUCUUAAGAGGAGAAAAGCCUGGCAGGUUCCUGGAAUAGAAAGAAGGCGUGUGGGCCCAAUGUAUAUGAUGGAGAGAGGUAGGAAAUGAACUCAGAGAGGCUGUCAGCACACAGACCAUAUUCAACAUUGGAGUCCCCUAAGGAGUUUGGAUGUUGUCCUCAGUAUAGUCAUGGGGUGCAUAGCAAUGUUUUGGUCAAUGACAGACUUCAUGCACAACACUGGUCCCAAUAAGAUCAUAAUGGAGCUGAAAAUUCCUGUCACCUAGUGAUGUCUUUAUGAUCCUGACCCUGUGUUUCCCUAGGCUAAUGUGUGUGUUUGUGUCUUAGUUUUUAACAAAAAUGCUUAAAAAGUAAAAAAGAAACAUUUUUAAAAAUAGAAAAAACUUAUAGAAUAAGGAUAUAAAGACAACAUUUUGUACAGCUGUACAAUCUGUGUUUUAAGCUAAGUGUAACAGGAGUCAAAAAGCUUAAAAAUAUUAAAAAGUUUAUCAAGUAAAAAAGUUGUAGUAAGCUAAGGUUAAUUUAUUUUUAUUAUUAUUAUUUUGAGAUGGAGUCUUGCGCUGUCACCCAGGCUGGAGUGCAAUGGUGCAUUCUCGGCUCACUGCAACCUCUUCCUUCUGGGCUCAAGUGAUUCUCCUGCCUCAGCCUCCUGAGUAGCUGGAAUUACAGGCACGCGCCACUGUGCCCAGCUAAUUUUUGUAUUUUUAGUAGACAUGGGGUUUCACCAUGUUGCCCAGGCUGGUCUUGAACUUCUGACCUCAGGUGAUCCACCCGCCUCAGCCUCCCAAAGUGCUGGGAUUAAAAUUCCAUGAGCCAUGGCAUGAGCCACCAUGCCCAGCCUAAUUUAUUAUUGAAGAAGGAAAAUUUUUGUGUAAAUUAAGUGUAGCCUAAGUGCGCAGUGUUUAUAAAAUCUGUAGUAAUGUAUAGCAAUGUCCUAGGCCUUCACAUUCACUCACCACUCACUCACUGACUCACCCAGAACAACUUCUAGUCCUGCAAGCUCCAUUCAUGGUGCGUGCCCUAGACAGGUGUAUCAUUUUUUAUUUUUAUACCAUAUUUUUAUUACAUCUUUUAUAUGUUUAGACAUACAAAUACUUGCCAUUGUGUUACAAUUUUCUACAGUAUUCAGUACAGUAACAUGCUGUACAGGUUUGUAGCCUGGGAGCAAUAGGCUAUACCAUAUAACCUAGGUAAGUAUCAGGCUAUACCAUCUAAGUUUGUGUAAAGUACUCACUGUGAUGUUUGCACAACAAUGAAAUCAUCCAAGGACAAAUUUUUCAGAAUGUACCCGUUGUUAAGUGACGCAUGAUUUAUCUUAAAAAAACAUUGGAGACUUUUGAGUUCAAGAAUAACAUGACAUUAAUAAUUUAAGAA
rnacentral:lncRNA from 1 species